ACAAGGUGUAACAGAAACUAAGUUGAAGCUUUUAGCAAAUGUGAGUGGUGUUUUUGCACCUGGUGUACUUACAGCAUUAAUGGGAUCAAGUGGAGCUGGGAAAACCACUUUAAUGGAUGUGCUUGCAGGAAGGAAAACAGGAGGAUAUAUUGAGGGUGAUAUUAAAAUAUCUGGUUACCCAAAAGUGCAACACACAUUUGCAAGAAUAGCAGGAUAUGUUGAACAAAAUGACAUACAUUCUCCUCAAAUGACAGUUGAGGAGUCCUUGUGGUUUUCUGCAUCAUUAAGGCUUCAAAAGGAAGUUAGCAAAGAAAAAAAGCAAGUGAGUUCCUAUCAGAGAUAUAUUAUCUUAUGCCCAAUUAUAUUCAAUAACAAUUCAUUGGUCUGUGAGGUAUCAUUUAAUGUGACCUUAAAUAUUAUAAGGGCGAAAAAUGUAAUUUUAGACUUUUUGGACGCGAUAUGAUCAUUGCUAAUACAGGCGGAUCAGGUGUACUGAUGAUUUUAUUCUUGUUGGGAGGAUUUAUUGUCCCAAAAGGUAGGCUGCGCCAAAAAACUAUGUGACAAAAGGAAGGCAUAUACAUUUGCUAUGCCGUUGGUUGGUGAUUUUGGUUGCAUUUUUCAGGUAUGAUUAAGCCAUGGUGGCUUUGGGGUUACUGGUUAUCGCCUCUUAAUUACGGACAAAGAGCUAUUUCAGUCAACGAAUUUACUGCCACAAGAUGGAUGGGGGUACUUCAUGCAAGCUUAUUAAAUUUCAGUUUUCUAUAUUUUAAUUUUUACAUAUAGUUUUUAUAGAAGAUUUAUGAAAUUAUGGAAACUGUUUAUUUUAGACUUCAGCUUUAGGGAACGACCCAGUUGGUCACAAUAUACUCAAGUCAUUCAAUUUACCAACUGAAGAUUACUGGUAUUGGCUUAGUUUGGGAGUUUUAACACUCUACACAUUGUUUUUCAACUUAUUGACAACUUUGGCACUGACCUAUCUGAAUCGUAAGUUUAGUGCAAUUUUUCAUCCAUCCAAGUUCUUGUAGUAUAUGUAAUAAUUGGUAUCCAUGAAUGAUCACUUUCUCCAAUCUUUAUGCUCUCUAUCUUUGCAUGCCACAGCACUCAAAAAACCAAGAGCAGUUACUAACAAUGAAGAUGAAGAUUCACAAAAGAGUUAUGAUAACGUUGACAAUGAAUCAACAAAAAGUUCCAAAUCUACUGGUGGAGAGAGCAAAAACAAGGGAAUGAUUCUUCCUUUUCAACCAUUGACAAUGACAUUCCACAAUGUCAAUUAUUAUGUUGAUAUGCCAAAGGUGAAUGGAAUGUUUUUGAAAGAUGAAAUACAAGAAAGUAGGAAGAGUUGAAUGAUCCAUUAUUUGUUUCUAAAUGAACUUGUUUUUCCAGGCGAUAAGAAAACAAGGUGUAACAGAAACUAAGUUGAAGCUUUUAGCAAAUGUGAGUGGUGUUUUUGCACCUGGUGUACUUACAGCAUUAAUGGGAUCAAGUGGAGCUGGGAAAACCACUUUAAUGGAUGUGCUUGCAGGAAGGAAAACAGGAGGAUAUAUUGAGGGUGAUAUUAAAAUAUCUGGUUACCCAAAAGUGCAACACACAUUUGCAAGAAUAGCAGGAUAUGUUGAACAAAAUGACAUACAUUCUCCUCAAAUGACAGUUGAGGAGUCCUUGUGGUUUUCUGCAUCAUUAAGGCUUCAAAAGGAAGUUAGCAAAGAAAAAA
rnacentral:lncRNA from 1 species